rnacentral:lncRNA from 1 species
AUUGCUUUUAUGUCUAGUAAGCUCUUUCCCAUAAUUAGAAAAACAAACACCUGAAUAUUUAUUGACUCUGUUUUUAAUUUGUUUAGUAACUUUUAUAUUCUGUCAUUAUUAAAGUACUUCUAAUUCCAGGCUACUGAAUCUUCAAAAACUGGGAAAAUAAUUUAUUUACUGAAUGCCUACAGCAUGCCUGGGUGGUUUAAAAGUUGCGUCCUAUAUAACCUUAUUUAACAUGUCAUCACUAUUAACAAGGUAUAAUUAUUCUUAGUUUACAGAUGAGGAUAUUGAAACCCACAAAAUGUAAUAGUUCUAUCAAUUCCACACAGUUAUAUGCAGUGGAGCAGACAUUUAGACCAGUUCUGCUUGACCUAAAGCUCAUGUUCUUUCAAUUACAGCAAUACUCUACAAGCAAUAGGGAGCAUCUUAGACUUUUAAGUGGGAAAAAUGACAUGAUCAAAGCUGUGCUUUAAGAAAAUCUAUUUAGCAGAAGCGGACAUGGAACAUUUUUAAAAAGGGGAGUCUGAAUGCUAUUGAAAUAGCCAAAUAGCCAAGUCAAGGAUAAUGAAAUCCCUGGGUCUGAAUGAGUAUAGUAACUGGAAACUGAAGAGGAAGAAAUAGAAAAAGAGGUAUUAUGGGAAGAUAAUUUACAGAAAAGGGUAACUGAUUCAAUGUUGGUGUCAGUAAGCAGAGGUGUUAAAGAUUAUUAGGAAUUUCCUGUUAAUUCAAAUAGAAAGAACAUGUAAGCAGUUUUUUUUUUAAUAUGAAGUUUUUCUAAGGAAGAUUGGGACCUCAAGUUUGGACAUCCUGAGGCACUAAAUGCAGAGGAAGAGCCUUUGGUGGAAGUUUAAAACUUAAAAUUGCAUCCUGGGACAUGAAAAAUGGGGUUAAAAUUUAUUGCUAGAUGUGGGAGUCAUCUGCACUGAUUUAAUAGAAACCACGAGAUUGCCAAGGGUAAGAGUUGAAAUGAGAAUCAUCAUGGGCAGAUUCAUGAAAAAUAUUUAUAUUUAAGUGGUGAGAACAGGAAAAGAAUCUAGAUACAAAAAUAAAAGGAGUGAGCAAAAAGUAGAAAGGGACACAAAGAAAAAUAUUUGAUGUUUGCAACUGAUUAGUAUUUUAUUUUAUCUUUCUUUGGCUCUUAACUGUCACCCGAAGGCUCUGACAUCAGAAAUGACUCCCACCCCUGAUCAAGAGUCUCUCCAACCUCACAGAUGCUGGCCUCUUGGCACCUGCCUAGCUCUUGGGCCUGACCUUCAGUCCUGCUGGCCUCUUAUUAUUUCCCUCACCCUAGGUUUGGCCUCUGGAACCUCUCCCUCCUGUGUACCACACCCCACCUGCUGUGGAGCCCAUUGUGGGGGCAGGGAGAGAGCCCUCCCCUGAGGAUCUACUGCCCUCUGGGGCUGUUGAGUUGGGCAGAAUCCUGGGCCUCCAGAGGCCUUUGCUCACACACACUCCUUCUCCCUGUUCCUGGCACACUCCCUUCCCCGAGAUUACACAAUAGUCAGAGUCCUUCUUUCCAGGGGAUUGGGCCAUGUGUCCUCCACCCAUAUGUCCAUCCUCCUCUCCAUGUAAGUGCUGUUUGGGCAGGAGUCAUCAUGCAAGGGUGACGUCAACAACCAUGUACCAAGCCACCGCAGCUGCUGCCACUCUGGAGCCUGUACAGAAGAAACUGAAUCUUUUUCAUAUCCUCAUAAAUCAAUACCUGCAUAAGAAUUCUGGCCUUACCUCACUGUGUGAACAUGUGCAAGAUAUUUAACAUCUCUGGCCUCAUUUUCUACAUCU